rnacentral:rRNA from 1 species
UACGGAGGGUGCAAGCGUUAUCCGGCAUCACUGGGUUUAAAGGGUGCGUAGGCGGCUUGAUAAGUCAGGGGUGAAAGCCCGCAGCUUAACUGCGGAACUGCCUUUGAUACUGUUGAGCUUGAAAGAGGUUGAGGUCAGCGGAACGUGACAUGUAGCGGUGGAAUGCAUAGAUAUGUCACAGAACACCGAUUGCGAAGGCAGCUGGCUGGACCUACUUUGACGCUGGGGCACGAAAGCGUGGGGAGCGAAUAGG